rnacentral:rRNA from 1 species
GGGAAGAAGAGCAACUGGGAUUGCCUUAGUAACGGCGAGUGAAGCGGCAAUAGCUCAAAUUUGAAAGCUGGCCCCUUUGGGGUCCGCGUUGUAAUUUGUAGAGGAUGAUUCGGCGAGGGCUCCCGUCUAAGUCCCCUGGAACGGGGCGUCAUAGAGGGUGAGAAUCCCGUAUGUGAUGGGUUGCCUUAGCCAUGUGAAUCUCCUUCGACGAGUCGAGUUGUUUGGGAAUGCAGCUCUAAAUGGGAGGUAAAUUUCUUCUAAAGCUAAAUACCGGCCAGAGACCGAUAGCGCACAAGUAGAGUGAUCGAAAGAUGAAAAGCACUUUGGAAAGAGAGUUAAAAAGUACGUGAAAUUGUUGAAAGGGAAGCGCUUGCAGCCAGACUUGUCCGCAGUUGCUCAGCCGGUCUCCUGACCGGCGUACUCUUCUGCGGCCAGGCCAGCAUCAGUUCGGGCGGUCGGAUAAAGACCCCAGGAAUGUAGCUCCUCUCGGGGAGUGUUAUAGCCUGGGGUGGAAUGCGGCCAGCCUGGACUGAGGAUCUCGCUUCGGCUAGGAUGCUGGCGUAAUGGCUGUAAGCGGCCCGUCUUGAAACACGGACCAAGGAGUCUAACAUCUAUGCGAGUGUUUGGGUGUCAAACCCAUACGCGUAAUGAAAGUGAACGGAGGUGGGAACCCUCACGGGUGCACCAUCGACCGAUCCUGAUGUCUUCGGAUGGAUUUGAGUAAGAGCAUAGCUGUUGGGACCCGAAAGAUGGUGAACUAUGCCUGAAUAGGGUGAAGCCAGAGGAAACUCUGGUGGAGGCUCGCAGCGGUUCUGACGUGCAAAUCGAUCGUCAAAUUUGGGUAUAGGGGCGAAAGACUAAUCGAACCAUCUAGUAGCUGGUCUGCGAAUUUUCCCUCU